rnacentral:lncRNA from 1 species
UCUUCUGUCGCCUAGCUCCGUAUGUACGGAUGUGUCAGGCGCCUGCUCCAUGCGUAACGGCCAUUAAUUCUCCUCUGAUACGUAUGAUUCUCCUCUGAUACGCAUGCGGAAGGACCUACCAGCGGGGCAUCUUAGUCAUUUUCCCCUUUCCGGGCUGGGUUGAAUGGUAGGGCUGAAGUUGAGCCUGGUGAGGGCCUGAUUACUGGGCCGAGAGGUUUGGGCCGGUUUGAUUGAGGAGUCUAGGCGGAGUCUGGCCCUG